rnacentral:rRNA from 1 species
CCUACGGGUGGCAGCAGUGGGGAAUAUUGGACAAUGGGCGAAAGCCUGAUCCAGCCAUGCCGCGUGUGUGAAGAAGGCCUUCGGGUUGUAAAGCACUUUCAGUGGGGAAGAAAGCCUUGGGGCUAAUACCCUCGAGGAAGGACAUCACCCACAGAAGAAGCACCGGCUAACUCCGUGCCAGCAGCCGCGGUAAUACGGAGGGUGCGAGCGUUAAUCGGAAUUACUGGGCGUAAAGCGCGCGUAGGCGGUCUGAUAAGCCGGUUGUGAAAGCCCCGGGCUCAACCUGGGAACGGCAUCCGGAACUGUCAGGCUAGAGGGCAGGAGAGGAAGGUAGAAUUCCCGGUGUAGCAGUGAAAUGCGUAGAGAUCGGGAGGAAUACCAGUGGCGAAGGCGGCCUUCUGGACUGACACUGACGCUGAGGUGCGAAAGCGUGGGUAGCAAACAGGAUUAGAUACCCGGGUAGUC